GAGAAUCACUUGCAUGAUGUAAAUUAGCCCGGGAACCACACACUGACCGAAGAUGUCGGAUUUAAGUGAGUUUUUGCGUGUUCGAGGGGUCCCAGAUGAAGCCAUUUCAUUACUGGAAGAACAAAAGAAUGGACGUGGCAACAUUUCAGCCAGUCGCGCUGCUUCUGUCCUCCUGUCUGCUCACUGUGUCCGAGGGCAGCUCCUCACACACAAAGCAGACAGGUGAAUAUAACGUGUUACUGAA